UACAGAGGUCCCAAGCGUUGUUCGGAUUCAUUGGGCGUAAAGGGCGCGUAGGCGGCGGGGUAAGUCUGGUGUGAAAUCUAGGAGCUCAACUCCUAAACUGCACUGGAUACUGCUCUGCUAGAGGACUGGAGAGGAGACUGGAAUUCACGGUGUAGCAGUGAAAUGCGUAGAUAUCGUGAGGAAGACCAGUGGCGAAGGCGGGUCUCUGGACAGUUCCUGACGCUGAGGCGCGAAGGCCAGGGGAGCAAACGGG
rnacentral:rRNA from 1 species